GCUGAAGAACGUAGUGAAAUGCGAUAAGUAAUGUGAAUUGCAGAAUUCCGUGAAUCAUCGAAUCUUUGAACGCACAUUGCGCCCCCUGGUAUUCCGGGGGGCAUGCCUGUCCGAGCGUCAUUGCAACCUUCAAGCGCGGCUUGUGUGUUGGGUCUCGUCCCCCGUGGACGGGCCCGAAAGGCAGUGGCGGCGUCCCGACAUGGUGCCCGAGCGUAUGGGAAUCCUCUUCCGCUCGAAUCGGCCCAUGCGGCGCUGGUCGUAACCAAAUUUUUUACCGGUUGACCUCGGAUCAGGUAGGGAUACCCGCUGAACUUAAGCAUAUCAAUAAGCGGAGGA
rnacentral:misc_RNA from 1 species